rnacentral:rRNA from 1 species
ACACACAUGCCAGUCGAACGGCAGCACGGACUUCGGUCUGGUGGCGAGUGGCGAACGGGUGAGUAAUGUAUCGGAACGUGCCCAGUAGCGGGGGAUAAACUACGCGAAAGCGUAGCUAAUACCGCAUACGCCCUACGGGGGAAAGCAGGGGAUCGUAAGACCUUGCACUAUUGGAGCGGCCGAUAUCGGAUUAGCUAGUUGGUGGGGUAACGGCUCACCAAGGCGACGAUCCGUAGCUGGUUUGAGGGGACGACCAGCCACACUGGGACCGAGACACGGCCCAGACUCCUACGGGAGGCAGCAGUGGGGAAUUUUGGACAAUGGGGGAAACCCUGAUCCAGCCAUCCCGCGUGUGCGAUGAAGGCCUUCGGGUUGUAAAGCACUUUUGGCAGGAAAGAAACGUCAUGGGUUAAUACCCCGUGAAACUGACGGUACCUGCAGAAUAAGCACCGGCUAACUACGUGCCAGCAGCCGCGGUAAUACGUAGGGUGCAAGCGUUAAUCGGAAUUACUGGGCGUAAAGCGUGCGCAGGCGGUUCGGAAAGAAAGAUGUGAAAUCCCAGAGCUUAACUUUGGAACUGCAUUUUUAACUACCGGGCUAGAGUGUGUCAGAGGGAGGUGGAAUUCCGCGUGUAGCAGUGAAAUGCGUAGAUAUGCGGAGGAACACCGAUGGCGAAGGCAGCCUCCUGGGAUAUCACUGACGCUCAUGCACGAAAGCGUGGGGAGCAAACAGGAUUAGAUACCCUGGUAGUCCACGCCCUAAACGAUGUCAACUAGCUGUUGGGGCCUUCGGGCCUUGGUAGCGCAGCUAACGCGUGAAGUUGACCGCCUGGGGAGUACGGUCGCAAGAUUAAAACUCAAAGGAAUUGACGGGGACCCGCACAAGCGGUGGAUGAUGUGGAUUAAUUCGAUGCAACGCGAAAAACCUUACCUACCCUUGACAUGUCUGGAAUCCUGAAGAGAUUUAGGAGUGCUCGCAAGAGAGCCGGAACACAGGUGCUGCAUGGCUGUCGUCAGCUCGUGUCGUGAGAUGUUGGGUUAAGUCCCGCAACGAGCGCAACCCUUGUCAUUAGUUGCUACGAAAGGGCACUCUAAUGAGACUGCCGGUGACAAACCGGAGGAAGGUGGGGAUGACGUCAAGUCCUCAUGGCCCUUAUGGGUAGGGCUUCACACGUCAUACAAUGGUCGGGACAGAGGGUCGCCAACCCGCGAGGGGGAGCCAAUCCCAGAAACCCGAUCGUAGUCCGGAUCGCAGUCUGCAACUCGACUGCGUGAAGUCGGAAUCGCUAGUAAUCGCGGAUCAGCAUGUCGCGGUGAAUACGUUCCCGGGUCUUGUACACACCGCCCGUCACACCAUGGGAGUGGGUUUUACCAGAAGUAGUUAGCCUAACCGCAAGGGGGGCGAUUACCACGGUAGGAUUCAUGACUGGGGUG